rnacentral:rRNA from 1 species
UACAGAGGUCUCAAGCGUUGUUCGGAUUCAUUGGGCGUAAAGGGUGCGUAGGUGGCGUCGUAAGUCAGGUGUGAAAUUUCGGAAGCUUUAACUCCGAAACUGCAUUUGAUACUGCGGUGCUUGAGGACUGGAGAGGAGACUAGAAUUUAACGGUGUAGCAGUGAAAUGCGUAGAGAUCGAUAAGGAAGACCAGUGGCGAAGGCGGGUCUCUGGACAGUUCCU